AUGGGAAAGAAACCUGGAAAGGUAGGGAGGUAUGGAUAUGGACAAGCUAUGCCAAGGAGCAGGGCUUUGUCAUGGAGAGUGACUAGGUGCUUUUACAUAGGAAAGUCACCUGAUAAUAUUAAAACCUGUGAAAUAUCACUCUGGUGGAAGUGUGAAUGAAUUUGAAAGGGGUGUAACACUGUUCUACUUUGUUUACUCCUCAGUACCCUUGGCUGUGUACAUUUGAGUAAAGAGAGCACUAUAAAAUCAAAAACCAAUGAAAUGGUUUCCAGAACACAGAACUAUUAAGCUUAAGAAAAGGACAGAAGGAACUGAAGAGAGAGGAACUGUUUUGGAGCAUCACACUUCCACCUCAGAAGAAAUAAGGAAGGAAGGAGGAGGGUGUUCCCACGGCUCUUCAACCAGGCCGGCUCUUCAGCCUACAUCCCCAUCUCAUCAAGUAAAAGGGAUUUUUCAACUGGACCAACCAGAUGGUUUAACAGUGCACUCCCACACCAUUCAACUACGCAAGGGAGAUACACUUAACAUAUGCAGUCGUAUAACACCUACUAACAUUUUCAAACAUUAAACCUUUAAAAAAGAGUUCUAAAGAAAUAGAAGCUUGAAGUAUCAUCUCUCAAGUAUAUAGACACUACUUCAUGGUGUGGUAAUAUAUGCAUAUAGAAGCUAGUAAACACCUCCAGGAGAUGCAAAAGGAAUUAGAACUGCCACAAGGUGCAAGCAAAACCUUGAGCUUCUUUAAAAUAUGAAGACUUCGAAGUUAUUUAUCCAAACCAACCUGAUCAUUUCUUAAGAGUGAAUAUACCUUGGAAGACGUGUCCUGCCUUUAGUAGCGUCACAAUGGAUUACAUCCUCUAUAAAGCAGUCUGGGGAGAGUUAUGAUUCAGAAGAUCAUCUAAAAUUGAACAGCUGCCACUACUGGCAAUAAGUCUACUGCCAUUUGGUAGAUAACCUUCUUAUCACACAGAAAAAUAUCAGUACAGACAAAUAGACCGCAAAGAAAAUGAGACCAUCAGCAAAGAAGAUAAAGAAGUUUGUACAAAGCAACUUUUUAUAAAUGGAUGGCUGUCAGGCAAAAAUAAAUUUCCUGUGGACAAGACCAAGAGCAAGGCAAGAGGAAAAUAAACAUGUUUAAACUA
ensembl:lncRNA LINC00343 long intergenic non-protein coding RNA 343